UCCAUCUUGCCCAAGCACUCAAUAAGCAGCAAGAGGAUGAGCAGGGUAAUUUACUGCCUGGUGCUGGCAGAGGAGGGGAAGAAGGGGCAGGCGGAGAUGCUUUUCUGUCUGAGGCACUUUGAACAGUGCUGCUGCUGGGGAAGUCUCGCUUCUCCUCAGCCUUUCAUCCCUGUGCACUUUUCAUCUCUGCCACGUCUGAAAGAAAUCCUUCUGAGCACGAGCUCCUGCCUGCCACACGCUGCUGCUCCCUGCCCGCUCGGCCUCACGCUGCCAUCGCCUCGCUCAGCCUCACUCCCCACCCAGAGCCCCUGGCAGCUCCAGCCCUGCUCAGGGAGCUCCACCAAAAAUCCUCGUACAGCUUGAGUCCUGCUCGGGGAGCUCCACCAACAAUCCUCACACGCCUCGAGCCCUGCUCGGGGAGCUCCACCAAAAAUCCUUGUACAGCUUGAGUCCUGCUCAGGGAGCUCCACCAAAAAUCCUCGUACAGCUUGAGUCCUGCUCGGGGAGAUCCACCAACAAUCCUCACACACCUCGAGCCCUGCUCGGGAGCUCCACCAAAAAUCCCUGCACAGCUCCAACAAUCCCUGCACAGUUCCUGCCCUGCUCGGGGAACUCCACCAACAAUCCUCACACAGCUCCAGCCCUGCUCAGGGAGCUCCACCAAAAAUCCUUGUACAGCUUGAGUCCUGCUUGGGGAACUCCACCAAAAAUCCUCGUACAGCUCGAGCCCUGCUUGGGGAGCUCCACCAAAAAUCCUCGUACAGCUCGAGCCCUGCUUGGGGAGCUCCACCAAAAAUCCUUGUACAGCUUGAGCCCUGCUUGGGGAACUCCACCAAAAAUCCUCGUACAGCUUGAGCCCUGCUUGGGGAACUCCACCAAAAAUCCUCAUACAGCUCGAGCCCUGCUUGGGGAACUCCACCAAAAAUCCUUGUAUAGCUCGAGCCCUGCUUGGGGAGCUCCACCAAAAAUCCUCACACAGCUCGAGCACACCAUGACCCACUUCCAGCCAAUGUGCACGUACUCCAUGAAUGCCUUGUGUCACUCUGUAAACAGAAUAUCCUUUUGCCUUUGUCAGACAAAGGAAACCAUUUCCAAAUGUUGGAAAAACCAGAAACCCCUCUGCUCCUGCAAAGCAAUUGUUCCAUUGAGAAACAGUGGUCCAGGUCCUCCCAGCCCCACAGGCACAGCCCAGAGGCUCCUCUUGCCCCCCAGAGCCUCCUGCAGACACACACCAAGCAGCUUCACCUCCAAAUCAGCAGAGCUGGGACAGAUUUUCCGCUGGUGUUUGGUGCUCUCAUUCCCAAACAUCAAAGUUUUGGAAUUGCAUCGGAACUUUGGCUUCCUUCUUUCUCUAAUGAGGGCUGCAGCCUUGUCAGCUGAGGGAGCAGAAACCCUCCUCUCUCCCCUGCUAAAGGCAUCCUUUUCCAACUUCCAUGCACUGUACAUACGUGCAUGGCCUAAUCUGCCUGACAAGCAGCGUUGGAAGAAUCUGCUCUGGUGGUGCUGUGUCUCCUCGUGGCUGUGAAGAGGAGCACCAGCUGAGGCUGAAGGAAGGCCACGGCCACUCCGAACAGCCACAAACCACCUAACAGGGUGGGAUGGGAAGGAAAUGUUCAGGCACAUUUCCAGAUAAUAAUGAUGCUACAGCAGAACUUCAACUGCUGGUAAAAUUGUACUGUUAUUAUGUGUUAUGAUUCAAUUACCCACAAAAACUUCUACUCAAGACAUCUAAGGAAUAACAAAAUACACAUUCUGGGAAACACAAUAUCAAACAUUCACCUUGAAUGUGAGUACUCCUAGUGCCACUUUUAUUUUAUCUUUGUAACUGUAGAUGCCCAGCUGGGAUGGGGCUGGCACACCCUGGCUGGGCUCUGCAGAGCCCGUAGAGGUGCAGAGGGAGGGAAGGGGCACGGCCCGAAGC
rnacentral:lncRNA from 1 species